CCUACGGGAGGCAGCAGUGGGGAAUAUUGCACAAUGGGCGAAACUCUGAUGCAGCGACGCCGCGUGAGUGAAGAAGUCUUUCGGUAUGUAAAGCUCUAUCAGCAGGGCAGAAAAUGACGAUACCUGCUUCAGAUGCCCCGGCUCACUCAGUGCCCGCAGCCCCGGGAAUACGUAGGGGGCAAGCGUUAUCCGGAUUUACUGGGUGUAAAGGGAGCGUAGACGGAAGCACAAGUCUGGAGUGAAAUGCCAGGGCUUAACCCCGGAACUGCGUUGGAAACUGUGCAGCUAGAGGGCAGGAGAGGUAAGUGGAAUUCCUAGUGUAGCGGUGAAAUGCGUAGAUAUAAGGAGGAACACCAGUGGCGAAGGCGGCUUACUGGACUGUAACUGACGUUGAGGCGCGAAAGCGUGGGGAGCAAACAGGAUUAGAUACCCCUGUAGUC
rnacentral:rRNA from 1 species